rnacentral:rRNA from 1 species
CCUACGGGUGGCAGCAGUGGGGAAUAUUGGGCAAUGGGCGCAAGCCUGACCCAGCAACGCCGCGUGAAGGAAGAAGGCUUUCGGGUUGUAAACUUCUUUUCUCAGGGACGAAGCAAGUGACGGUACCUGAGGAAUAAGCCACGGCUAACUACGUGCCAGCAGCCGCGGUAAUACGGAGGUGGCAAGCGUUAUCCGGAUUUACUGGGUGUAAAGGGCGUGUAGGCGGGAAAGCAAGUCAGAUGUGAAAACCAUGGGCUCAACCUGUGGCCUGCAUUUGAAACUGUUUUUCUUGAGUGCUGGAGAGGCAGACGGAAUUCCUAGUGUAGCGGUGAAAUGCGUAGAUAUUAGGAGGAACACCAGUGGCGAAGGCGGUCUGCUGGACAGCAACUGACGCUGAGGCGCGAAAGCGUGGGGAGCAAACAGGAUUAGAUACCCUGGUAGUC